rnacentral:rRNA from 1 species
UACGGAGGUGGCAAGCGUUGUUCGGAUUUAUUGGGUGUAAAGGGUAUGUAGGUGUCCUGACAAGUCGAAUGUGAAAUCCCUUGGCUUAACCAAGGAAUUGCAUCCGAAACUGUCAGGAUUGAGUAUGGAAGAGGAGAGUGGAAUUCCCGGUGUAAGGGUGAAAUCUGUAGAUAUCGGGAGGAACACCAGUGGCGAAAGCGGCUCUCUGGUCCAAUACUGACACUGAAAUACGAAAGCUAGGGGAGCAAACAGGAUUAGAUACCCCCGUA